AGGUCUUGACAUCCCGAUGCUAUUCUAGAGAUAGAAAGGUUACUUCGGUACAUCGGUGACAGGUGGUGCAUGGUUGUCGUCAGCUCGUGUCGUGAGAUGUUGGGUUAAGUCCCGCAACGAGCGCAACCCCUAUUGUUAGUUGCCAUCAUUCAGUUGGGCACUCUAGCGAGACUGCCGGUAAUAAACCGGAGGAAGGUGGGGAUGACGUCAAAUCAUCAUGCCCUUAUGACCUGGGCUACACACGUGCUACAAUGGUUGGUACAACGAGUUGCGAGUCGGUGACGGCGAGCUAAUCUCUUAAAGCCAAUCUCAGUUCGGAUUGUAGGCUGCAACUCGCCUACAUGAAGUCGGAAUCGCUAGUAAUCGCAGAUCAGCACGCUGCGGUGAAUACGUUCCCGGGCCUU
rnacentral:rRNA from 1 species